CAGGAAUUUGUGUCAGAUUUAAUGUUGUCAAUACAUUUUAAGGACAUAUAGGUCGAGUCACGUUUAGUAUGUCUUAGUUGAAAAAAAUAUAUAGUACGUCACAAUUACCAAGGUUGAGAUUACAACAACCUGGGUGUCAUUAUAUGUAUGACUAUCAUCGAAUUUCAUUUGUUGAAAUGUUUAUAUUAUUUUAAACGCCAACG
rnacentral:lncRNA from 1 species